UACGUAGGGGGCGAGCGUUUGUCCGGAUUUAUUGGGCGUAAAGAGCGUGUAGGCGGCCUGGCAGGUCUGCUGUGAAAACUCGAGGCUCAACCUCGAGAUGUCGGCGGAAACCGUCUGGCUAGAGUCCGGAAGAGGAGAGUGGAAUUCCUGGUGUAGCGGUGAAAUGCGCAGAUAUCAGGAAGAACACCUAUGGCGAAGGCAGCUCUCUGGGACGGUACUGACGCUGAGACGCGAAAGCCGUGGGAGCGAAGCAGG
rnacentral:rRNA from 1 species